rnacentral:Y_RNA from 1 species
GGCUGGUCCGAAGGUAGUGUUAUCUCACUUGAUUGUUCAUAGUCAGUUACAGGUUGAACUUGUUCUACUACUUUCCCACCUUCUCACUAUUGCACCUGACUAGUCUUAA